AACGCACAUUGCGCCCCUUGGUAUUCCGAGGGGCAUGCCUAUUCGAGCGUCAUUAUCACCCCUCAAGCCUAGCUUGGUGUUGAGGCCUGCUGUCAAGGCAGCCUCUAAAAUCAGUGGCAGUGCUGUCAGGCUCUAAGCGUAGUAAAUUCAUCGCUAUAGACACCUGGUGGACACUCGCCAGAACCCCCCCAUUUUUUUAAUGAUUGACCUCGGAUUAGGUAGGGAUACCCGCUGAACUUAA
rnacentral:misc_RNA from 1 species